rnacentral:rRNA from 1 species
UACGUAGGGGCAAGCGUUGUCCGGAUUUAUUGGGCGUAAAGCGCGUGUAGGCGGCCAGGUAGGUCGGUUGUGAAAACUGGAGGCUCAACCUCCAGACGUCGGCCGAAACCAUCUGGCUAGAGUCCGGAAGAGGAGAGUGGAAUUCCGUGGUGUAGCGGUGAAAUGCGCAGAUAUCAGGAGGAACACCGAUGGCGAAGGCAGGUCUCUGGGCCACUACUGACGCUGAGAAGCGAAAGCAUGGGGAGCGAACAGG